rnacentral:rRNA from 1 species
AUGGCGGGGGCUGAAGUAGGUCAUGUGGUGUUGGAUAACAGCGAUACUGAAGUCUCAGAGGUUGUGGAAUGCGAUUCCACAGUUGUAGAAGUGCUGGAGAAGAGUGCCAGUAAAGAAUUUGGUUUGCAACUUCCCUUGGGAAACAAGGAAGACAUAGAAUCCCUCGGCACAGUUUGUGAUCUUGAGAAUAACGAGGGUAAUGCUGCUGAGGCAAUCACUCUGAACGUGGUUGCACUAGAAAUGUCCAUCUCUUGCAAGGCUCCAGAUGAAAGUAUUUCACUGGGUUGUCAAACACCAAGGGGAAACAUCUUUGACCCCUUCGCUCCAGGACCAGAGGAGGCGCUCUGUGGUGCGCCGAAGAAGAACGUGGUCAGGGGAGUAGAGACCCUCUCCCGCAGGAAGCUCAUUUUUGAAUCUGAUGACUUCCCAGUCAAGAGGUUAAGCUUUGAGUUUGAUGAUUCGGAGGAGGAAGAUCUGUAUCUCCAGGGGAUCUGCAAGAUGUUUCUUGAUCUGAUCAUCUCAAACCAAGCGCUGGAGGCAACCGGAGAUGGCGAGGCUGUUCUGAUAGACGCCAUCCCACCUGAAAGCUACAAGACCCCUGAAUCCAAGCCUCUGCUGACCGGCAUCGCAGACACCUGCCCGGACGCUCCUCUGCGGCCAUCUCUGAAGAUGAUCAAGCUCAGCCCAGGCAUCUGCCGGAAGCUCGACUUCGGUUCGGUCAGCCCCAAGACUCUUUUCGCUGAAGACAAUAAGAGCUGA